UUUUUUUUUCAUGAAGUCAGAACUAACUACAGAGCAGUAAGGUACAGCAAUAGCGAGCAAGUAGCACCUGCAAUUCUGAGCAAAAAAGGGCAUGGAAUUUUGCAAAAAGUUGGGGAGCUGCUGUACUUGUUAUUUCCAUAAAUACGUUGCAGGAAUUGGAUUGACAAUAAUUGUUAAUAACAAUGUCCCGGAAGUUGUAUCUGAAAGAAAGUUUCUUGGAUUGGAGCUUGUUAGAUCCAGCGUUUUCGUGAGUUCUGAGCUCCCUUGAACCACCGAUCCCAGUUAAUAUUGGUGGGUCCUUUGCUCAGUGGAAGCAAUGGAUCCGGAAUGGAUUCAACACUUGAAAUGAGCUCUUUACAAACGAUGGAGGCUUCACCUAUCUCCUCAAGUUGGUCAAGCUCCUCCUGGAGAUAAUUGAUUUGGUUUUGGAGAUUAGAGAUUGCAGCUGCCAGUCGAUGCUUCCCAUAGAAACCGUUAGGCUGUGUUUUAGGAAGAAGAGUUGAUGGUGAUGGUGUCCGGUGCUGAUCUUCCCGCCUUGGCUCUCCUGGCGACGGCAGUGAAUCAUCCAUUGGUGUUGAAUCUGUUUCCAUGAAGAAGAUGUCAAAGGAAGGGAAGAGGUUGUUAUGGGUAAGCACAAAUGAAUGAAUGAUUAAAGAAAGUGGACCAAGUGUAGAGAAAUUAUGAAGGGAGAAGGGGUGCGUGUGCGUGUAUAAACUAUGAGCAUAAAUGAUAAAGAAAAGAGACAGUCAAAAGAAAGAAAAGCCACUAAAGCAUA
rnacentral:misc_RNA from 1 species